rnacentral:rRNA from 1 species
GAUGAACGCUAGCGACAGGCCUAACACAUGCAAGUCGAGGGGCAUCGGGACGUAGCAAUACGUUGCCGGCGACCGGCGGAUGGGUGAGUAACGCGUAUGCAACCUACCCGUAGCAGGGGGAUAGCCCGUUGAAAGACGGAUUAAUACCCCGUAACACAGGGGCUCCGCAUGGAGAUUAUUGUUAAAGGGUCAUUUCUUUUAGAGGUGGUCCGGCUACGGAUGGGCAUGCGUUCCAUUAGGUAGUUGGUGUAGGUAACGGCUCACCAAGCCGACGAUGGAUAGGGGAACUGAGAGGUUGGUCCCCCACACUGGUACUGAGACACGGACCAGACUCCUACGGGAGGCAGCAGUGAGGAAUCUUGGUCAAUGGACGCAAGUCUGAACCAGCCAUGUCGCGUGAAGGAGGACGGCCCUAAGGGUUGUAAACUUCUUUUGCAGCGGAAUAAAGUUUGCCACGAGUUGGCGAUUUGCAAGUACGCUGCGAAUAAGGAUCGGCUAACUCCGUGCCAGCAGCCGC